GGGCACUUAGCUCAGUUGGUAGAGCGUUCCCUUCACACGGGAGAGGCCACAGGUUCGAGUCCUGUAGUGCCCA
rnacentral:tRNA from 1 species